GAUGAACGCUGGCGGCGUGCCUAAUACAUGCAAGUCGAGCGAACAGACGAGGAGCUUGCUCCUCUGACGUUAGCGGCGGACGGGUGAGUAACACGUGGAUAACCUACCUAUAAGACUGGGAUAAAUUCGGGAAACCGGAGCUAAUACCGGAUAAUAUAUUGAACCGCAUGGUUCAAUAGUGAAAGACGGUUUUGCUGUCACUUAUAGAUGGAUCCGCGCCGCAUUAGCUAGUUGGUAAGGUAACGGCUUACCAAGGCGACGAUGCGUAGCCGACCUGAGAGGGGGGUCGGCCACACUGGAACUGAGACACGGUCCAGACUCCUACGGGAGGCAGCAGUAGGGAAUCUUCCGCAAUGGGCGAAAGCCUGACGGAGCAACGCCGCGUGAGUGAUGAAGGUCUUCGGAUCGUAGAACUCUGUUAUUAGGGAAGAACAAAUGUGUAAGUAACUAUGCACGUCUUGACGGUACCUAAUCAGAAAGCCACGGCUAACUACGUG
rnacentral:rRNA from 1 species